rnacentral:rRNA from 1 species
UACGGAGGGUGCAAGCGUUACUCGGAAUCACUGGGCGUAAAGGACGCGUAGGCUGUUUAGCAAGUCAGAUGUGAAAUCCAAUGGCUCAACCAUUGAACUGCAUUUGAAACUGCUAGACUAGAGUAUGGGAGGGGGAGAUGGAAUUAGUGGUGUAGGGGUAAAAUCCGUAGAUAUCACUAGGAAUACCUAAAGCGAAGGCGAUCUCCUGGAACAUUACUGACGCUAAGGCGUGAAAGCGUGGGGAGCAAACAGGAUUAGAUACCCUGGUAGUCCACGCCCUAAACGAUGAACACUAGUCGUCGCGAUGCUUGUCAUUGCGGUGAUGCACUUAACAGAUUAAGUGUUCCGCCUGGGGAGUACGGUCGCAAGAUUAAAACUCAAAGGAAUAGACGGGGACCCGCACAAGUGGUGGAGCAUGUGGUUUAAUUCGAAGAUACGCGAAAAACCUUACCUGGCCUUGACAUUGAUAGAAUCCUGUAGAGAUACGGGAGUGCCCUUCGGGGAGCUUGAAAACAGGUGCUGCACGGCUGUCGUCAGCUCGUGUCGUGAGAUGUUGGGUUAAGUCCCGCAACGAGUGCAACCCUCGUCCUUAGUUGCCAGCAGUUCGGCUGGGCACUCUAAGGAGACUGCCUUCGCAAGGAGGAGGAAGGUGAGGACGACGUCAAGUCAUCAUGGCCCUUACGGCCAGGGCUACACACGUGCUACAAUGGGGCGUACAGAGUGUUGCAAUACCGCGAGGUGGAGCCAAUCACUUAAAGCGUCUCUCAGUUCGGAUUGUUCUCUGCAACUCGAGAGCAUGAAGCUGGAAUCACUAGUAAUCGUAGAUCAGCAUUGCUACGGUGAAUACGUUCCCGGGUCU